UUGGGCAAAACUGCCGUGAGGCAGUGACGCAAAGCCAAGGGGACUUAGUUUUUUAAGUUAGCCCGGUUGC
rnacentral:ncRNA from 1 species